GCCUGGGUGGCUCAGUUGGUUGAGUGUCCAACUUCAGCUCAGGUCAUGAUCUCACAGUUCGUGGGUUCAAGUCUCACAUCAGGCU
rnacentral:tRNA from 1 species